UGGGGAUGACGUCAAGUCCUCAUUGGCCCUUAUGGGUAGGGCUUCACACGUCAUACAAUGGUCGGUACAGAGGGUUGCCAAGCCGCGAGGUGGAGCCAAUCCCUUAAAGCCGAUCGUAGUCCGGAUCGUAGUCUGCAACUCGACUACGUGAAGUCGGAAUCGCUAGUAAUCGCAGAUCAGCAUGCUGCGGUGAAUACCGGUUCCCGGGUCUU
rnacentral:rRNA from 1 species